rnacentral:rRNA from 1 species
CAAUAGCGUAUAUUAAAGUUGUUGCAGUUAAAAAGCUCGUAGUUGAAUUUCUGGUGGGCGCGCCGGUCUUCCAAGUGUUGUACUGGGCGCAGUCCGCCAUCCUUGUGGAGAGGGCUCGCAUUGAGUUGCGUGUCGGAUCUGCAUCAUUUACUGUGAAAAAAUUAGAGUGUUUAAAGCAGGCUGUCGCUUGAAUACAUUAGCAUGGAAUAAUAAGAUAGGACUUCGGUCUAUUUUGUUGGUUGCGAACCGAGGUAAUGAUUAAUAGGGAUAGUUGGGGGUAUUCAUAUUUAACUGUCAGAGGUGAAAUUCUUGGAUUUGUUAAAGACGGACUACUGCGAAANCANNNGCCAAGGAUGUUUUCAUNGA